rnacentral:tRNA from 1 species
GGAGAGGUGGCAGAGUGGUCGAUUGCGGCGGUCUUGAAAACCGUUGUACCGCGAGGUCCCCGGGGUUCGAAUCCCUGUCUCUCCGCAA